rnacentral:rRNA from 1 species
AGCAGCCGCGGUAAUUCCAGCUCCAAUAGCGUAUAUUAAAGUUGUUGCAGUUAAAAAGCUCGUAGUUGAAUUUCGGGGUUAGCAAGUUGGUCGUGCCAUUGGUAUGCACUGGCUUUGCUGAUUCCUCCUUCUUGAAGAACUGUAAUGCUAUUAAUUUAGUGUUGCAGCGAAACAGGACUGUUACUUUGAAAAAAUUAGAGUGUUUAAAGCAGGCUAACGCUUGAAUACAUUAGCAUGGAAUAAUGAAAUAGGACGUUUGAUCCUAUUUUGUUGGUUUCUAGGAUUGACGUAAUGAUUAAUAGGGAUAGUUGGGGGCAUUAGUAUUCAAUUGUCAGAGGUGAAAUUCUUGGAUUUAUUGAAGACUAACUACUGCGAAAGCAUUCGCCAAGGAUGUUUUCAUUAAUCAAAGAACGAAAGUUAGGGGAUCGAAGACGAUCAGAUACCGUCGUA